GGGGAUAUAGCUCAGUUGGUAGAGUACUUGCCUUGCAUGCACAAGGCCCUGGGUUCCACACCCAGCUCCA
rfam:Ictidomys tridecemlineatus contig095298, whole genome shotgun sequence.